GGAGGGUACAGCUCAAGUGGUAGAGCACAUGCUUAGCAUGCAUGAGGUCCUGGGUUCAAUCCCCAGCACCUCCU
rnacentral:tRNA from 1 species